rnacentral:misc_RNA from 1 species
AGGAGGCAUGUCUGGAAGCAGCAGUGGUUCCAGCACCAGCAGCAGCCCCCAAAAGCGUGUGUACUUGGAUUUCAAUGCCACCACACCACUGGCUCCAGAGGUGAUCCAGGCAGUAGAGCAGAGCAUGCAUGAAGCCUGGGGUAAUCCAAGCUCUGAUCAUGAGGAGGGAGCAAGAGCUAGGGCUGUCAUCAAUCAGGCUCGGGAUGAUGUGGCCCGGAUGAUUGGGGCCAUGCCACAAGAUGUCCUGUUCAUGUCUGGUGGGACAGAGGCCAAUAAUGUUGUUCUUCAUUGUGCUGUAACACACUUCCGUAAGUGGUGCCUCUCCCAAGACAGUCCCAUCUAUCAUCACCUUCGACCACACAUCAUCACCACCAAGGUGGAACAUGAUGCUGUCAAACUACCCCUCACCCACAGAUAUGCCAUUGAAGCAGAUGUAACAUAUCUUGGGGUAGAGAACCUCCCAGAAGCAGUGUUGGAAUCUAUCCGGCCAUCUACUUGCCUCAUCACAGUCAUGUUGGCUAACAAUGAGACUGGCAUCAUGUUUUCUGUUGCGCACAUUGGCAGGUUAUUAGCAGAAGUUAAUAAGAAGAGAGAAAAUGAGGGCUUGUUCAAGGUUCUCCUACAUACAGAUGCUGCACAAGCCAUCGGGAAGGUUCCUGUUGAUGUCACAGAUCUCAACAUUGACUACUUAACAAUAGUGGGACACAAGUAUUAUGGGCCUCGGAUUGGUGCGCUUUAUAUCCGUGGGCUUGGACACAAGACUCCAGUCUAUCCCCUCUUCUAUGGAGGAGGGCAAGAACGGGGAUACCGGCCUGGCACAGAGAACACUCCCAUGAUUGCUGGCCUGGGGCGUGCAUCACUCUUGGUUCACAACAAUGUUCAAGACUACUAUACAUCAAUGAAGAAAACAAGAAACUACAUGGAAAGACAGUUAAAGAAAGUAUUUGGCAAUCAAGUCAAAAUCAACUGUGUAGAUCCAUGCAUACCAAUGGACCCAGAAGCUUGUUCAGUGCCUCCCCGCGGCCCCAAGCAGCAGCACUUUAUCUUUCCACGUCUCCCAAACACAUCCUCCGUCUCCUUCUACUAUAGACAGGUAUCAGGACCUGAGAUUUUGAGGCAUUGCAGACUGGUGCAGGCCAGCUGUGGAGCUGCUUGCCAUGCCCAUACAGAAAAUCAGAGUCACACCGCAAAGUAUCAUGGACAGUACGGAGAGGGACACCAGCUAAUAAGUCAGGAUUCCCUUCCUUAAUUUGGUGUCCUGUAAGGCUGGGAUUGACCUACAGCUGCCUCCUGAGAAGUGUUCUUGUCCUCUCAGGUAUCCUAGAGGCAUCUGGUGUGUGCUCCUUCCAUGCUUCUCGUACCAUCCGCCUCAGCUUAGGCCGAGACACCACUAUGGAGGAGAUAGACCUGGCCAUCCAAGAUGUUAAACAGGCUAUUGAAAAAC